UUUUUAGAGAGCAGUAAAAAAAAAUUUCAGGAAAACCCUGAGACCUGAGGGAAAAUGCACAAAAACCCCAAUGUCUCAGGGAACGGGUUUGGGCUGCCAUCACCCUGUAGGAGUCGAUAUAAAGAUUAGUCGGCAUAAUGAAAUUAGCCAUUUAGUUAGAAAUGUCAAAAUAUGGGACGCUAUAAAAGCGCUCGGAAAAAUGGAAUAAACUCUCUUGUGAUAGUUGUCAAUCUCGUUAGCUCAUUCGUUUCUCUGCUUGUUCUAAAGAAAGUUUAUUUCUUUUAGUGGCGACGAAGUAGUGAUUUUUUUUAACGAACCGAGAGUGAAGUUUUUUUAAAUCGUUGAGUGAUACGGAACUGCGGAGCUGCCGAACCGAAGACGGCGAAUUUGGUUUGCGUUUUUGGGUACCAGAUUCUUUUGCCGCAGACAGAGCACGGAGAUUCAACCGGAUUUGUCUGUGUGACCAAUAACGGCAGGAUUUGUGCCUUGACUACAUCCGGCGAGGAUUAAAAGAAUUUUUUGCUGGAAUUACCAGUUCCCCGGAUUGUGAUUUAGCCUGGAGGAAGGCACGUCGGUUUGCUGCUGCUGUUGCUGUGCUGUUUUGCUGUUUUGCUGUUGCCCCUAGUAGACCUACAGAAAGCAUUUUCAGUCAGGUGGAUUUUGGCUGCUGCAGUAAAAAUGAUUUUAAAAGUCUCACUCGGUGGUCGUAUGAUAUCGGCCCACAGACAUCAGCUUCGUUUGGUGGAGGAGAAACGACGGUCAAGAGCAUCGGUUGUCUUUGAUCAUACCCCGCCAGUCCGUCUGAGCAAACGAGGACGAGAAGAAGACGAUGUUAGACAGCAUAAAGCAAAACAGCGAAAUAAGCAAAUCGACGAUGAUUUUUAUGGAUUCGCUUUGGAUUCGUUCAUUUUUGGUGGAUUCGAUUCGCCAGAUGCAUGCGACAAUGUUCAGGACUCGCAAGCAGAAAUCGAUUCCGAGCAUAUUCUGCAUCGAAAACGUUCAUCACAUCAGCAGAAUUCUCCGCCUAGAAUAAGGCGCUCGAUUAGAACUAAGAAUAAGAAGAAAGAUGUGAAUUUUUUUAACUUUUAAAUUAAUGCUAUCGAUAUUUUGCAUUAAGUUUGUAUAUUGUACAUAGCAAUUUUCAAAUAUUUUCUAAUGCGUUCAAAAAACUGAAGAAGGAAGAAUUGUAGGAGUCGAUAUAAAGAUUAGUCGGAAUAAUGAAAUUAGCCAUUUAGUUAGAAAUGUCAAAAUAUGGGACGCUAUAAAAGCACUCGGAAAAAUGGAAUAAACCCUCUUGUGAUAGUUG